CUGCGCGUGCCUCUGAGGGGGGCAGCGCUUGCCGCUGAGGGGGCGCGAGCGUGCCGAGGGCGGGAAACCGUGAGGGAGAGACCGCCACACACCCACACGCACACACGGCCCCUUCCCAGAGCUCGUGAGGUGAAGCUCCCACAGAACCCCGAGGAGCAGCCCCGGCUUCUCUCCCACGGCGAGGAGCGGCUUUUCCAGAGCGCUCAGGAGCGCGGCUUUCGCUGGAGCAGAGCCGGGACGGGGGUUUUCCUCGCGCUUCAGCGCAUCCUGAGGGGACGCGCGCCCGUGAUUAAAAAGCAUUAAGACUUCGCAUAUCACUGAGGCUGAGCAUCAUGCAAGAUCUGGCAAGAGCCAAUUUUUGCCUAAAGAGACGUGUUUGGGAAAGAAAACACAGCUUUCUGCCUAAUUAGACAGGUUUGAGACAGAAAACACAGUUUUACAAAGGGAUAGGUGAAUUAGCAAAGAAAACAACAACAAAAAAAGUUGAAAAUCACCGGAGUACCCAGAAAGACACAUUGUAGCAGGUCAGUUCUUUGCAAGAAUGUUGCUCCAGGCACCCUUUUGGUCCUGGAAACCUUGGACAAUGCAAGACUGUUACCAAUACAAGAAACAUUUUCUAAAUACAUGUGCAAAAAAGUUUCAAAUACCGGUGUUCAACCCCUACACCCACAGUUGUUCAUGUGCCUUUCACUGCCCAGCCAUGAGCAGUUAAUCCAACGCUUCAUAGCAAAUUGCAUCCUUCAUCUUAUCUAUUAAUUUAAUUUUGACCAAAACAUUUCUUCUCUUGAGCUGUUUUCUCUCAGUAUGCAACACACUAGAAAUCCCCUUAUUUAAUUGUGAAGUAUCUCUGUACUUUACCGGGUACACUGAUUAUUUCUUAAUUGCAUCAAAUGCAACGCUGAAAAGGGUUUUUUUUUUCUUCUUCUUUUGGCCAUGUUUAUCGUAGUCUCUGUCAUAAAAAGAAUGUCAAGUCACUUUAGCCAAGUGCAGUUAUGGAGCAAUGUAUCUAAAUAAAAAUAUGUAAUAUAUCAGAACCAUAAAACAUUUUAGUACUGAGGCCCAGAAAACAUUAAUCAUUAUCUUACACUGUACAUACUGCACACUUUUAAACUUUGUAUAAAAAUGCAAUUACUUGAAACGUCAUGUUACUUUGAGCAGGCACACAGACCUUCAGCAUUUUUAAAACAGGAAAGCAGCAAAACAAGAGCAAGAGAGAAGUUGGACAGGUCUGCUUCUCAAGGGAAAGGAGUGCUGAUCUGAUCUUUCAGCCACAGGCCACAUUUACCAAUUUAAUUACAAUUACUGUUUGCCAGAAGAAUCAUAAUGCAGUGUGUUAUUAAUUAUUUGUCCAUUCAAAUAUAACAUUCAGCCGGUUAAGUCAUCAAUAAAAUCAUGACUUGAGUGGCAAAACAAACAAUGUGCAGAGCAAACACUUGAAAGCAUCCAUUUCUGGGCUAGAUGUUGUUAGUAAAGUUAUCCCACAAACAGCCAGACAGCAAAUACGUUCACUGAACACAGAAUUCACAUGGAACCACAUUGAAAUAAUGUGGAUUUUUUUUUUUAAGAGUUGGGUUUUUUUUAUUUAUGUAAGGAUAUUAUGAAAGGCAAGAAAAUAACAGUGCAUUGUUCUCCAGCACUAGUGUCUCCAGCAUAAAACAAUCAAUUUAAAGCCAUGCAAAAUGGCUAAUACUGUUAUUGCUGUCCUUUUUCAUAACUCAGUGUCAUUUUAUUCAUCUUGCCCCUAAGAAAUGACCUUUUCUGUGCAUAUCCCCACCUUUUUCCACAAAUCCCCUGAGUGACAGAAUCUCAUCCUAAUCCCAUUUCCAUUUAGAUGUUGCAGAAAAGCACUGUAGACCUUCGAGGGAAUAAGUAAUCAUAAUGGAAAGAUAAUAAUAUGUUUAUGAAAUCUGGAUUUUUAUAAUAGCAAAUUGAAAAAUUACAAUAGUAUUUCAAGCCACCUAAGGUCAAUGUUACCAAGCGCAAAAAGCCAUUGAUCAAGUGUGUUUAAAGUUUCCCACUUUAGGUUAAUUUUCAACACAAAACAUCUCUGUUUCAGAGAGCAGCACCUCUCUUCUGAGGCGAUUCCUCAUCUACCUAGUGAUCACAAAACCUGGUGUUAAAGCCAGUAGUUGUUUGUAGGGAAAAAUAUACUCAGUAUUUUUCUACAGACCUAAAAAGCACAGAACAACUUCACAAGGCCUCUACAAAAUGCACCAUAGGCCACAGUUUAAGAACUCCAGCCCUUAGUAAUUCUUAAAGGUAAAAAAUAUGUAAAAUCUCAAAAAUAAAUAUAUCAAAAUACUCCUUUCAAUAUUAUGCAGUUGUACCUUUUUCUGCUGGAGGUAAAUUUGCUUGCUUAUGCCUAAAAAGAACACCAAAGUUGUACAUACAGACAACCACUGAAACUUCACUGAGGUCCUAGAUUAAAAAAAAAAACAUAACCAAUCAAAAACUAGCACUUAAACCCUGUCCUCAGCUAAUUAAGGAGUUUCCCCCUCUCUUUGAGCUUCAGCUUUCCACUGUUUUAAACCCCAGCUCAGACACAUCAACAGCCACUGGGACUCGAUGGAGUUUUCUGUGACUGAACCAGCAGUUGUUACCUGAAAAAGAUUUUCUUGUCCUCCCGCUCUCCCUGAAGGGCUCAGUGCUGCUGCCAAGGGCGGUUGUGCUCUUGCCUUCACCCUGGUCCUGGCCCUGCAGCCUCUUCUCUCUUACCCCAGCUCUGGUUCCCAACCAAUCCCCUUGUACAAUGGGACAGUUCAUUCACUGAUGAAAAGCUAAUUGGGUUUUUUUUGCUGAGUUCAUUUUAGGCUGGCCUGACUUGCUGAAGCUGUGACACAAGCACCAGAGCUGACACGAAGAAAGCAUCAGGAGAGCACAUCCACACACCAAACCACCCCUUUUGGAGACAAGAUGUGAGAUCAGACGCUGUAAGAGCACGCAGCAAUUUCUGGUUGCAACGAAACACUCAACGGACCUUGAGACCCUCCGUGCUUCUGACUUCUUCCAGGAACAUUUGGGAGCACCUCAACUGCUUCUGGGGUCACAAAAUUCCUUCCAGCACAAGGAACAGUGGAGGCGUCGGAGAACAACCCCCCAGGUGACAGCAGCAGCCUCAGAGGCUUUUGCAGACUAAGGAAAGAGUCUGAAGGAGCUGCUUGGCAGAGCUCUUUGGGCUGAGUGACUGGGCUGAGGCAUUCCCAAGGAUUUCUCUGGAAGGUGUGACCUGCUCUUUGAAAGUGGGGGAAAAUACUUAUUUUUAAUCACCUUCAUCUCAAGAGCUGUAAUUGAGGUUAUGAAGUUAUAGUGGAUUAACAGCUCUGCACUGCUGUUGGCUCCUGUGUAUGGUGGUGGAAAAGAACCCACGAGCAGCUUUGAUCCGAAGGGACUAAAACAGAUGGAAGCCUUGGGAUCCUCCUGUGCUCGGAUAUGCCUGCCUGGUAAUUAUUCAUGAGGAGAACAGCUGAAAACAAACUCGUUAUACACCUUGGCAAGUCCCUGUGAUUUGAAUUCUGUGAAAUUUCCCCAUGGCCAUGUGACUUUAUUCUGAAGUACUCGAGCAGUGCAGAUGUCCAGAAUGCCAGAGCUGUUACAAAUGUUAUUCCUGUAGUCAAAGUUUUGAAUCAUCAGCGCUUCAGGAAAAGGGGUGGGGGGGGGGGAAAGAAGAAAAAAGAGGAGCAAAGACUGAUGAUACAGGGUGUGUUUUGAGUGUUUGUCACAUCCUUCAUUACGUGCAGCUCUCGUACAUUACCAGAGCACAGACAGAUCUUAGGAAUAUAUCUCCAUGCGUGUUCAGGGCACAGAAUGGAAUUUUCAAAUUUCCAAUGCCUGGAAGAACAGCCCACUGAAAGGCACCGAGUAUUUUAACUGUCUCCUUUAAGCCAUGAUACAAUAAGCAUCAGCACUGACAUUUUUGGAAGUUUAGAAGUAAGACAAUUUCUGUGUAACAUUGGAUGAAGAAUCGAAAUGCUUCAGAUUUAGCUAAAAAUAAAACAUUUCUCUGCUUUCGCCUUUUCUUUUUCUUCUC